GGAAAGAGGGUGAUGGAGAACUGACCUGAUGGAGCAGAAACAGCCCGGGCAGCUCCUUUAGGGCCUCCACCCCCACUCCCUGACCCCGCAGCCAAAGCGCUUCCCGGGGCGCAACAGGCGGCAGCCGGGGCCCACUCCAGCCUGGGAGGCUGCUGCACCCUCUCAGACACAGAGAAAAAGAGUUCUAUCACAGCUAAACUUCUGGCAAGAACCCCUUGUUAACUAUCACUGAGGUGGUGGAGGUAAAGAAGGAAGAGGAAAGGUAGCCACACACAAUGCAGAAUGGGACUCUGGCCAACAAACAAGCAAUGAUUCCUGCUAAUCUAGAGGAGAAGAAGGGUCCAGUCAGGAAGGCCCUCAGGAACACAGCUUCUCUGUCACCAUGGGAACCUGCACUAGUUCCACUGACCUGGUACCGAGAUCUCUACUUCCUUCUCCUGGU